rnacentral:rRNA from 1 species
GAUGAACGCUAGCGGCAGGCCUAAUACAUGCAAGUCGGACGGGAUUCAGGAGCUUGCUUCUGAUGAGAGUGGCGCACGGGUGCGUAACACGUAUGUAACCUACCUUUAUCAGGGGGAUAGCCUCUCGAAAGAGAGAUUAAGCCCGCAUAAAAUCACAGCACAGCAUUGUGGAAUGAUCAAAUAUUUAGAGGAUAAAGAUGGGCAUGCGGAACAUUAGCUAGAUGGAGAGGUAACGGCCGACCAUGGCGACGAUGUGUAGGGGAGCUGAGAGGAUGCCCCCCCACACUGGAACUGCGACCCAGACCAGACUCGGAGGCAGCAGAGCAGAAAGGUACACUAGGCAAGGAAGGGAAGCCUGAACAAGCCAUGCCGGGUGCAGGAGGCCGGCCCUACGGGUUGUAAACUGCUUUUAAACGAGAAUAAUCCCAGAUACGAGUAUCUGGCUGACUGUACUGAAAGAAUAAGGAACGGCUAACUCCGUG